CCGGGCGCCCCCUGGUGGUCUCGGGGGCCCCUGCAGGAGGUUUGUGUCCGGGCUCACACGGGCCUCCCCUCACUGUGUCACUCGCACAGUAAUACACGGCCGUGUCCUCGGCUCUCAGGCUGCUCAUCUGCAGAUACAGCGAGUUCUUGGCGUUGUCUCUGGAGAUGGUGAAUCGGCCCUUCACGGAGUCUGCG